UACGGGGGGGGCAAGCGUUGUUCGGAAUUACUGGGCGUAAAGGGCUCGUAGGCGGCCAACUAAGUCAGACGUGAAAUCCCUCGGCUUAACCGGGGAACUGCGUCUGAUACUGGAUGGCUUGAAUCCGGGAGAGGGAUGCGGAAUUCCAGGUGUAGCGGUGAAAUGCGUAGAUAUCUGGAGGAACACCGGUGGCGGAGGCGGCAUCCUGGACCGGCAUUGACGCUGAGGAGCGAAAGCCAGGGGAGCAAACGGG
rnacentral:rRNA from 1 species